UUCAGAGGUUAGGGGGUAAAUGUCUUCCUUUUCUCUUUUUCAUAUCAGCUGAUGAAGCAAGAUGACAGGGAGAUAAGGAUGAGACUAUUUUCUGGUCCUGAUCCUGGUGCUAGUGCUGGUGCUGGGGCUGGUGCUGGUCCUGGUCCUGAUCCUGGUGCUGGCGCUGGUCCUGGUCUUGACCCUUGCUGUUUAACUGAUCAGAUGCUGUCCACCGUCCACUGUGCCUCAUUUGAAGAGGAUGUAGAAGCUCAGAGGAACCUCCAUCUGGAGCAGCAGGUGAAGAGCAGCAGGAAAUGCAUCACUCAGAGCUGUAGCGCGCUGAGACAGCUGCUACCUGCUGUUCACAGGGGCCAUGUUGACGUGGUAACAGUGCUGGAGACAAGUGUGGCAUUCCUUGAGACGGUCCAGGACUUAGUCCCAGCCGAGGACUCUGGAAUCCAGGUAAAACACAGCGGACUAGACCCCACCCAUCGUAAAGCUCCAGCCAAUAGAAUGUAGAGGUUUAAACUGAUGAAACUGACUCAGCCUAACGUUUAUUUACAGCAUUAUGAAACUUACCCAGCAGAACACAACAAAUAAACACUUCUAAUACUGACACGAUGAAAUGGACCCAGUCCAACUUACAGGUACAGCACCAUGAAAUAGACCCAGCCCAGUGCAGAGGUACAGCACCAUGAAAUAGACCCAGCCCAGUGCAGAGGUACAGCACCAUGAAAUAGACCCAGCCCAGUGCAGAGGUACUGCACCAUGAAAUAGACCCAGCCCAGUGGACAGAACAAUAUUAACUUUAUGCAUUUCAAGUCAAAGUGCUUUACAGGGCAACAGAAAAAUUAUAAUCAAAUGAUAAAAUGAAAUGGCUGAGAACAACAACAAUAACAACGAUGAUGAUUAUGGUGGUGAUGGUAAUGAUUAGGGGUGUAACGGUACACAAAAAUCACAGUUCAGUUCGGUUUGGUUCUCAGUUAAGGGGAAAAAUGAAAAAAACCUGCUGAUAUCAGAGCUGGUCUGACUUUCUGGCUGAAGUGUGAAUGAGAAGAAGCUUCAUAACGGGGCUCUAUCACCUAAAAGAGGAAAUAUAUUUUAAUGUAAUUGCUUUUUAAAAAACGAUACCAUUUAGUUAGGCUCUUGUUUACCAGCAUAAAUAUACUAGUAGGCUAAAAAAAAUACACAAUCUAGUCAUUUAUCUGUAGCAAAGAGCAGUAAUGUAAAGUUACUGUAAGCUGACCUUCAUCUUCAGUUUAAAACCUCAGUUCUGAACAACGGAGUAUGGCCGUAGAUCUGCUGCUAUGAAAACACCAUGGACUUGGUUAUUGCUUUAGCCCGUUCUGAAAUGCUAGGCAGGGUUUGAUGAAAUGAUGCUGGGAGCAUCGUUUGUACAGUUCUCUGUUUUUUCCUAGCAGAGGGGAUAGUUACGCUUGGAAGGAACUUUUUCUAAUGUGUGUCUAAGUUUGACGUGUUGCUGGAUGCAGAGCUGAGGACCGCUUCAGUGUCGGCAUACGGCUUUCGUCUUGUCCACUUGUUCUUCUACUUUUUAGUACUUCACUGGGAAACCGAAGUGAUCCCAAACUGGUGAUUUUAAUGAUGCCGGAGCAUCUUCCAGCUCUAGCUUCUUCUAGUUGUUGCUAGCAUUAGCUAUGAAGCUCCGGUGUUGUACUAAGUUGUGCCUGCAUGUCAGGGCCGGCUCUCCCUAUACGCAAAUUAAGCGGCUGCUUAGGGCCCCGCCGCCACUAGGGGGCCCCCGAAUUGACUGUCUGAUGGUCUGACCCACAGACUGCCAUCUAACAUUACUUGCUUCGGACUAACCUGGCAACCACCCAACACGCGUUGUAAGUUCAGUGUCGCUGAUUGGGCGGCAGCCGCAGCCUCAGACGUGUCAAAAUAUUUGGUUGGUUGAUCAAAAACUGGCAUCAAGGAGGAUGUUUAGAAGAAGAACAG